CUCUCCUUUAAUUAGGUGCUAGUUGGGGUGAGGUAGUCUUGAAUUGAGAAAUUGAGAGUUGGUGACUGUACAGCUCCUAAGUCUGUAGAUGUUAAUCUAGGACUAGAUAGCUGGACAUAAGUUCCAGUCAGAACCUUGAAAACUGCAUAGAGAAAAGCAUAAUGGUGUAGGAAAACGUCGUAAAGACAAUUCCAAUGUA
rnacentral:rRNA from 1 species